GCUCGCGCUGUUUCGCACGCAACUGUCAAGUUCUUCUCCGGCCAGGGCCGUCCGCCAUGGCUGCCAACCGUGAGCUCCGCCUCUACCUCCUUCAUGUUGCUGCGAGCCCUCCUCUUGACACGAUCCGACCAGUAGCAUACUGAUCUGGCGUUGAGAGAUGUUUCACUUAGCCCAUGAGAUCUUCCUAAUCGUCAAUAGCAGAUCCACACACGGGCCUCGGCCCAGUUCUUCCCGAUGAAGCCCGCUGCUCUGCGCGUCCAGCAGCCAGGUUCUCUCCGAUGCAGCAGCAGGCC